UUCAGCCUCCGUCAGAGGACCUCUGCUGCCCCAGCAUACAGGGCCUUCUGUACAGGGAAUGGGCUCCUCCUCGAAGCAUAGACAAGAAGCAGCCCUUAGAUCUCAUCAGAACCUGAAUGGAAGAGACCCAAUCCAGAAGUACCUGACUGUGCAGGUGGGCCACGCCCAUCACUGCUUCCCUCAUCAGCGUUAUCAUCAUCGUGACCCUGAAUGCCAUAUAUGAGAAAGUGGCAAUCAUGAUGACUGACUCUGUGUGACCAAGGUGGCUGUCUCCUUGAACUGAAGACACAGCUGACAAUAAUCAUGGGAGGACAGUCAAUCUGGAAUAACAUACAAGAGGUGUUACUUCCGAGUAAAGGAAUUGAUGUUGUCCUUCCAUCCAUCCACCACUCCAUGUUGUGUGUCCAUUCCUUCAACAGGUAUUCAGUUUGGGUUCACCACCUUAUCUGUGGCC